rnacentral:rRNA from 1 species
UACGAAGGGAGCUAGCGUUGUUCGGAAUCACUGGGCGUAAAGCGCACGUAGGCGGAUGUGUCAGUCAGGGGUGAAAUCCCGGAGCUCAACUUCGGAACUGCCUUUGAUACAGCACGUCUUGAGUCCGAUAGAGGUGGGUGGAAUUCCUAGUGUAGAGGGUGAAAUUCGUAGAUAUUAGGAAGAACACCGGUGGCGAAGGCGGCCCACUGGAUCGGUACUGACGCUGAGGAGCGAAAGCAUGGGAGCAAACAGG